rnacentral:rRNA from 1 species
UACAGAGGUCUCAACCGUUGUUCGGAUUCAUUGGGCGUAAAGGGUGCGUAGGCGGCCAACUAAGUCGGAUGUGAAAUCCCCAGGCUUAACCUGGGAACUGCAUCCGAUACUGGAUGGCUUGAAUUCGGGAGAGGGAUGGCAGAAUUCCAGGUGUAGCGGUGAAAUGCGUAGAUAUCUGAAGGAACAUCAGUGGCGAAGGCGACUCACUGGACAUGUAUUGACGCUGAGGUGCGAAAGCGUGGGGAGCAACAGG